UGGAAAGUGCAUGCAGGAGGAUGCUCAGCA
rnacentral:piRNA from 1 species